rnacentral:rRNA from 1 species
GUAAACGUAGGGGCAAGCNUAUCCGGAAUUACUGGACGUAAAGGUGCGUAGGCGNUAGAUAAGUNGUGGUUCAAAGGCAGCAGNUCAACUGUUGUUCGGCCACGAAACUAUUUAACUUGAGUAUAGGAGAGGAAAGUGGAAUUCCCAGUGUAGCGGUGAAAUGCGUAGAUAUUGGGAGGAAUACCGGUGGCGAAGGCGACUUUCUGGACUAAAACUGACGCUGAGUCACGAAAGCAUGGGUAGCAAACAGGAUUAGAUACCCUGGUAGUCCAUGCUGUAAACGAUGAGUGCUAAGUGUUAGGGGGUUUCCGCCCCUUAGUGCUGCAGCAAACGCAUUAAGCAUUCCACCUGGGGAGUACGGCCGCAAGGUUGAAACUCAAAGGAAUUGACGGGAGCCCGCACAAGCAGUGGAGUAUGUGGUUUAAUUCG